CUACAAUGGCGUAAACAAAGGGAAGCGAGCCUGCGAGGGUAAGCGAAUCCCAAAAAUAACGCCCCAGUUCGGAUUGCAGUCUGCAACUCGAGUGCAUGAAGCUGGAAUCGCUAGUAAUCGCGGAUCAGAAUGCCGCGGUGAAUACGUUCCCGGGUCUUGUACACACCGCCCGUCACACCAUGAGAGUCGGGAACACCCGAAGUCCGUAGUCUAACCGCAAGGGGGGCGCGGCCGAAGGUGGGUCCGGUAAUUGGGGUGAAGUCGUAACAAGGUAAC
rnacentral:rRNA from 1 species